GAUGGUGUGGGCCGCCAUAACAGCCGAUGGUCGCUCCCCGCUCUAUUAAUCGACCGUGACAUGAGAAUAAAUGCCGAAAAUAUUCUGAAGGAUGUUUUAAAGCCUUGGGCACACAAACAUUUUGGCCGCAGACCUUGGACAUUCCAACAUGAUUCAGAACCAUCGCACUCAGCACGCGCCACCCAUGAAUGGUUACAAAAUGAGGUUCCUCUCAUCAUUUCCAGAGCACAAUGGCCACCAAAAUCUCAGGAUACCAAUCCGAUGGACUAUUGUGUCUGGAGUAUUUUUGAAAGCAAGGUUGGCAAUAAAAAAUACCAAAGUGUCGAUCACCUCAAGCAAGCGCUUCGCCGGGAAUGGGCCAAAAUACUGCAGAGUAACAUUCGGGCAGCGUGUGUCGGUUUCAUUGGCCGUUUAAAGGUCAUAAUUCGUGCCAAAGGUGAGCAAUUCGAACAAAUGUAAACUUAUUCUAAUAUUUGAUGCCAUUUCCGACAUUGUUUGCA